GAUGAACGCUAGCUACAGGUCUUAACACAUGCAAGUCGAGGGGCAUCAGGAAGAAAGCUUGCUUUCUUUGCUGGCGACCGGCGCACGGGUGAGUAACACGUAUCCAACCUGCCCUUUACUCGGGGAUAGCCUUUCGAAAGAAAGAUUAAUACCCGAUGGCAUAAUGAUUCCGCAUGGUUUCAUUAUUAAAGGAUUCCGGUAAAGGAUGGGGAUGCGUUCCAUUAGGUUGUUGGUGAGGUAACGGCUCACCAAGCCUUCGAUGGAUAGGGGUUCUGAGAGGAAGGUCCCCCACAUUGGAACUGAGACACGGUCCAAACUCCUACGGGAGGCAGCAGUGAGGAAUAUUGGUCAAUGGGCGCUAGCCUGAACCAGCCAAGUAGCGUGAAGGAUGAAGGCUCUAUGGGUCGUAAACUUCUUUUAUAUAAGAAUAAAGUGCAGUAUGUAUACUGUUUUGUAUGUAUUAUAUGAAUAAGGAUCGGCUAACUCCGUGCCAGCAGCCGCGGUAAUACGGAGGAUCCGAGCGUUAUCCGGAUUUAUUGGGUUUAAAGGGAGCGUAGGUGGACUGGUAAGUCAGUUGUGAAAGUUUGCGGCUCAACCGUAAAAUUGCAGUUGAUACUGUCAGUCUUGAGUACAGUAGAGGUGGGCGGAAUUCGUGGUGUAGCGGUGAAAUGCUUAGAUAUCACGAAGAACUCCGAUUGCGAAGGCAGCUCACUGGACUGCAACUGACACUGAUGCUCGAAAGUGUGGGUAUCAAACAGG
rnacentral:rRNA from 1 species